rnacentral:rRNA from 1 species
GCGUCUUAAGCAUGCAAGUCAAACGGGAUGUAGCAAUACAUCUAGUGGCGAACGGGUGAGUAACGCGUGGAUGAUCUACCUACGAGAUGGGGAUAACUAUUAGAAAUAGUAGCUAAUACCGAAUAAAGUCAAUUAAUUUGUUAAUUGAUGAAAGGAAGCCUUUAAAGCUUCGCUUGUAGAUGAGUCUGCGUCUUAUUAGCUAGUUGGUAGGGUAAAUGCCUACCAAGGCGAUGAUAAGUAACCGGCCUGAGAGGGUGAACGGUCACACUGGAACUGAGAUACGGUCCAGACUCCUACGGGAGGCAGCAGCUAAGAAUCUUCCGCAAUGGGCGAAAGCCUGACGGAGCGACACUGCGUGAAUGAAGAAGGUCGAAAGAUUGUAAAAUUCUUUUAUAAAUGAGGAAUAAGCUUUGUAGGAAAUGACAAAGUGAUGACGUUAAUUUAUGAAUAAGCCCCGGCUAAUUACGUGCCAGCAGCCGCGGUAAUACGUAAGGGGCGAGCGUUGUUCGGGAUUAUUGGGCGUAAAGGGUGAGUAGGCGGAUAUAUAAGUCUAUGCAUAAAAUACCACAGCUCAACUGUGGAACUAUGUUGGAAACUAUAUGUCUAGAGUCUGAUAGAGGAAGUUAGAAUUUCUGGUGUAAGGGUGGAAUCUGUUGAUAUCAGAAAGAAUACCGGAGGCGAAGGCGAACUUCUGGGUCAAGACUGACGCUGAGUCACGAAAGCGUAGGGAGCAAACAGGAUUAGAUACCCUGGUAGUCUACGCUGUAAACGAUGCACACUUGGUGUUAACUAAAAGUUAGUACCGAAGCUAACGUG